GACGAACGCUGGCGGCGUGCUUAACACAUGCAAGUCGAACGGACCUUCUGAUCUUUUGGUUGGUUGGUUAGUGGCGAACGGGUGAGUAACACGUGAGUAACCUGCCCUUCUCUUCGGGAUAACUGUCGGAAACGGUGGCUAAUACCGGAUAUUCAUAUGCUGUCGCAUGGUGGUGUGUGGAAAGAUUUUUUGGUGGGGGAUGGACUCGCGGCCUAUCAGCUUGUUGGUGAGGUAGUGGCUUACCAAGGCUUUGACGGGUAGCCGGCCUGAGAGGGCGACCGGCCACACUGGGACUGAGAUACGGCCCAGACUCCUACGGGAGGCAGCAGUGGGGAAUAUUGCACAAUGGGCGGAAGCCUGAUGCAGCGACGCCGUGUGCGGGAUGACGGCCUUCGGGUUGUAAACCGCUUUCAACUGUGACGAAUUUGACGGUAGCAGUAGAAGAAGCACCGGCUAACUACGUGCCAGCAGCCGCCGUAA
rnacentral:rRNA from 1 species